UACGGAGGGUGCAAGCGUUAUCCGGAUUUACUGGGUUUAAAGGGUGCGUAGGUGGAUUGGGUAGUCAGUGGUGAAAUACUACAGCGCAACUGUAGAACUGCCAUUGAUACUCUCAAUCUUGAAUGCAGUGGAGGCGGGCGGAAUGUGUCAUGUAGCGGUGAAAUGCUUAGAUAUGACACAGAACACCAAUUGCGAAGGCAGCUUGCUACACUGUGAUUGACACUGAGGCACGAAAGCGUGGGGAUCAAACAGG
rnacentral:rRNA from 1 species